rnacentral:rRNA from 1 species
GAUGAACGCUGGCGGCGUGCCUAAUACAUGCAAGUCGAGCGAACAGACGAGGAGCUUGCUCCUUCGACGUUAGCGGCGGACGGGUGAGUAACACGUAGGUAACCUACCUAUAAGACUGGGAUAACUUCGGGAAACCGGAGCUAAUACCGGAUAAUAUUUCGAACCGCAUGGUUCGAUAGUGAAAGAUGGCUUUGCUAUCACUUAUAGAUGGACCUGCGCCGUAUUAGCUAGUUGGUAAGGUAACGGCUUACCAAGGCAACGAUACGUAGCCGACCUGAGAGGGUGAUCGGCCACACUGGAACUGAGACAUGGUCCAGACUCCUACGGGAGGCAGCAGUAGGGAAUCUUCCGCAAAGGGCGAAAGCCUGACGGAGCAACGCCGCGUGAGUGAUGAAGGUCUUCGGAUCGUAAAACUCUGUUAUUAGGGAAGAACAAACGUGUAAGUAACUGUGCACGUCUUGACGGUACCUAAUCAGAAAGCCACGGCUAACUACGUG